UACGGAGGGUGCAAGCAUUAAUCGGAAUUACUGGGCGUAAAGGGCGCGUAGGCGGCCUUCUAAGUCAGACGUGAAAUCCCCCGGCUUAACCUGGGAACUGCGUCUGAUACUGGGAGGCUUGAGUAUGGGAGAGGGAUGUAGAAUUCCAGGUGUAGCGGUGAAAUGCGUAGAUAUCUGGAGGAAUACCGGUGGCGAAGGCGGCAUCCUGGACCAUUACUGACGCUGAGGCGCGAAAGCUAGGGGAGCAAACGGG
rnacentral:rRNA from 1 species